rnacentral:lncRNA from 1 species
CAAAAUAAAUGCAAAAUUUAAUGAAAAAAAUGAGUACAAAGUGAAUGGAAAGGAACAAAAACAGUCAAUGAAUGAAGGAAUAAAUGAAUUAACAAGUGAAGCAGUUUUAGAGAAGCAUGUUAACGUAACAGACUAGCAAGCCACACUUCCCUCGGGCCUCUUAUCCAGUAACAGGAGCCCCACUUAACAGGGAACCCACACAAAGACAUACACAACAUAUAUGGAGUUGGUCUGCACAAGCAAAGACCACCUAGACUCAGGUUCCCCAUAAUCUUUUAAGCUCACCUUGUGCACCAAAGAUUAAUUUGGUCUCAGCUAAAAAUGACAAAAUUCUAAACACAAACAGCAUGAGAGAAAAGUGCAGUGAGGCUCACU